rnacentral:sRNA from 1 species
AUGACGCCGAAGACAGCAGGUGCCGAUCUGGCGUAACUUGUAUGGCCUGCCGAGGAAAGUAAGAUCGUAUGAACGGAUUUACUGCCCCUGUCUUCGUGUGACAGGGGUUUUCUUUUUU